AUUCGAUUAGAGUUUGAUCAUGGCUCACGACGAACGCUGGCGGUGCGCCUUAUGCAUGCAAGUCGAGCGAAGCUUUUCAGUAGUUUACUACAGAAAAUGACUGAGCGGCGAACGGGUGAGUAACGCGUGAGCAACCUACCUUAGUUACUGGGAUAGCCCGAGGAAACUCGGAUUAAUACCGGAUAUUCUUAUUUAAUCACAUGAUUUUUUAAGGAAAGGUCAGCCGAACUAAGAUGGGCUCGCGUUCUAUCAGCUAGUUGGUAGGGUAAUGGCCUACCAAGGCUACGACGGAUAGCUGGUCUGAGAGGACGAUCAGCCACACUGGGACUGAGACACGGCCCAGACUCCUACGGGAGGCUGCAGCAGGGAAUAUUGCGCAAUGAGCGAAAGCUUGACGCAGCGACACCGCGUGUGGGAUGACGGAUCUAGGUUUGUAAACCACUUUCAGGAGGGAAGAAAAUGACGGUACCUCCACAAGAAGCCCCGGCCAACUACGUGCCAGCAGCCGCGGUAAUACGUAGGGGGCGAGCGUUGUCCGGAUUUAUUGGGCGUAAAGAGCUCGUAGGCGGUUCAACAAGUCGGUCGUGAAAGUUCAGGGCUCAACCCUGAAAUGUCGAUCGAUACUGUUGUGACUAGGAUACGGUAGAGGUGAGUGGAAUUCCGAGUGUAGCGGUGAAAUGCGUAGAUAUUCGGAGGAACACCAAUUGCGAAGGCAGCUCACUGGGCCGCUAUCGACGCUGAGGAGCGAAAGCUAGGGGAGCAAACAGGAUUAGAUACCCUGGUAGUCCUAGCUGUAAACGAUGGAUACUAGACGUAGGAAUUGGAUUAACGAUUUCUGUGUAGUAGCUAACGCGUUAAGUAUCCCGCCUGGGGAGUACGGUCGCAAGACUAAAACUCAAAGGAAUUGACGGGACCCCGCACAAGCGGCGGAGCAUGCGGCUUAAUUCGAUGAUACCUGUAGAACCUUACCUGGACUUGACAUAUAGGGAAAAGUUAUAGAAAUAUAAUGUGCAUUAGCGCCCUAUACAGGUGGUGCAUGGCUGUCGUCAGCUCGUGUCGUGAGAUGUUCGGUUAAGUCCGGCAACGAGCGCAACCCACAUCCCUAGUUGCCAGCAGUUCGGCUGGGCACUCUAUGGAAACUGCCCGUGAUAAGCGGGAGGAAGGUGUGGAUGACGUCAAGUCCUCAUGGCCCUUACGGGUUGGGCUACACACGUGCUACAAUGGUAGUGACAUAUGGGUUAAUCCCCAAAAACUAUCUCAGUUCGGAUUGUCGUCUGCAACUCGACGGCAUGAAGUCGGAAUCGCUAGUAAUCGCGUAACAGCAUGACGCGGUGAAUACGUUCCCGGGCCUUGUACACACCGCCCGUAU
rnacentral:rRNA from 1 species